rnacentral:rRNA from 1 species
UUGGUUUAAGAUGGGCAUGCGUGCCAUUAGCUAGUUGGAGAGGUAACGGCUCACCAAGGCGACGAUGGCUAGGGGUUCUGAGAGGAUGAUCCCCCACACUGGUACUGAGAUACGGACCAG